AAUUUUCACAACGCUCAAGGUAACUAUCUCUUCAUGCGAAUGAAGAGAUAUCUCAAGGGAAGCCGGUGCGAAUCCGGCGCUGCCCCGCAGCGGUAUGUGGAAACGACCUCCGUCACCGGCACUGGGUGCAACACGCCCGGGAAGCGACGGACAGUAGGCGGCCGACACUUUGCCGGUCACGUCCACGAGCCCGAAUACCUGCCUCGGCCGGAAGCGGCAC
rnacentral:ncRNA from 2 species